CACUGGUGGCGACCGGCGCACGGGUGAGUAACACGUGUGCAACCAACCCCGUACCGGGAGAUAACCCGCGGAAACGUGGACUAACAUCCCAUGAUACUCGAGAGCCGCAUGGCUCUCGAUUUAAAAUUCCGGCGGUACGGGACGGGCACGCGCGACAUUAGGUAGUUGGCGGGGUAACGGCCCACCAAGCCGACGAUGUCUAGGGGUUCUGAGAGGAAGGUCCCCCACACUGGAACUGAGACACGGUCCAG
rnacentral:rRNA from 1 species